CCUACGGGAGGCAGCAGUGAGGAAUAUUGGUCAAUGGGCGGAAGCCUGAACCAGCCAAGUAGCGUGCAGGAAGACGGCUCUAUGAGUUGUAAACUGCGUUUGUACGAGGGUAAACGCAGAUACGCGUAUCUGUCUGAAAGGAUCGUACGAAUAAGGAUCGGCUAACUCCGUUCCAGCAGCCGCGGUAAUACGGAGGAUUCAAGCGUUGUCCGGAUUUAUUGGGUUUAAAGGGUGCGUAGGCGGUCGGAUAAGUUAGAGGUGAAAUCCCGAGGCUCAACUUCGGAAUUGCCUCUGAUACUGUUCGGCUAGAGAGUAGUUGAGGUAGGCGGAAUGUAUGGUGUAGCGGUGAAAUGCUUAGAGAUCAUACAGAACACCGAUUGCGAAGGCAGCUUACCAAGCUACUUCUGACGUUGAGGCACGAAAGCGUGGGGAGCAAACAGGAUUAGAUACCCUUGUAGUC
rnacentral:rRNA from 1 species